rnacentral:rRNA from 1 species
AGUGAGCGCUGGCGGUAGGCCUAACACAUGCAAGUCGAACGGCGGCACAGUAAGAGCUUGCUCUUACGGGUGGCGAGUGGCGGACGGGUGAGGAAUACAUCGGAAUCUACUUUUUCGUGGGGGAUAACGUAGGGAAACUUACGCUAAUACCGCAUACGACCUACGGGUGAAAGCAGGGGAUCUUCGGACCUUGCGCGAUUGAAUGAGCCGAUGUCGGAUUAGCUAGUUGGCGGGGUAAAGGCCCACCAAGGCGACGAUCCGUAGCUGGUCUGAGAGGAUGAUCAGCCACACUGGAACUGAGACACGGUCCAGACUCCUACGGGAGGCAGCAGUGGGGAAUAUUGGACAAUGGGCGCAAGCCUGAUCCAGCCAUACCGCGUGGGUGAAGAAGGCCUUCGGGCUGUAAAGCCCUUUUGUUGGGAAAGAAAAGCAGCAGGUUAAUACCCCGCUGUUCUGACGGUACCCAAAGAAUAAGCACCGGCUAACUUCGUG